rnacentral:rRNA from 1 species
UACGUGAGGGGCGAACGUUGUUCGGUGUCACUGGGCUUAAAGGGUGCGUAGGUGGUUGUGUAAGUAACGUGUGAAAUCCCUCGGCUUACCCGGGGAAUUGCGCGUUAUACUGCAUGGCUUGAGGAUUUCAGGGGAAAGGGGAACUCCAGGUGUAGCGGUGAAAUGCGCAGAUAUCUGGGGGAAGGCCGGCGGCGAAGGCGCCUUUCUGGGAAAUACCUGACACUGAGGCACGAAAGCGUGGGGAGCAAACAGG